CGUAGGGUGCGAGCGUUAAUCGGAAUUACUGGGCGUAAAGCGUGCGCAGGCGGUUUUGUAAGACAGGCGUGAAAUCCCCGGGCUCAACCUGGGAACUGCGCUUGUGACUGCAAGGCUAGAGUACGGCAGAGGGGGGUGGAAUUCCACGUGUAGCAGUGAAAUGCGUAGAGAUGUGGAGGAACACCAAUGGCGAAGGCAGCCCCCUGGGUCGAUACUGACGCUCAUGCACGAAAGCGUGGGUAGCAAACAGGAUUAGAUACCCUGGUAGUCCACGCCCUAAACGAUGCCAACUAGGUGUUGGGUGGGUAAAACCAUUUAGUACCGGAGCUAACGCGUGAAGUUGACCGCCUGGGGAGUACGGCCGCAAGGUUA
rnacentral:rRNA from 1 species